rnacentral:misc_RNA from 1 species
GCAAACUUGGUCAUUUAGAGGAAGUAAAAGUCAUAACAAGGUUUCCAUAGGUGAACCUGCGGAAGGAUCAUUAUUGAUUAUGAACGGUUGCCUGCUGUGCUGGCCCAUUAGGGCAUGUGCACGUUGGUGACUUUCAUCCAACCCCUUGUGCACCUUUGGCCUCUUGGCUGGCAGAGGAUUUACACACAAACACAGAGAAUGUAAUGAGAGACUGCAGAGUGCGCGAGCACUGCUAAUGUACAACUUUCAACAACAGAUCUCUUGGCUCUCGCAUCGAUGAAGAACGCAGC